UACGUAGGGGGCGAGCGUUGUCCGGAAUUAUUGGGCGUAAAGAGCGUGUAGGCGGUUCGGUAAGUCUGCCGUGAAAACCUGGGGCUCAACCCCGGGCGUGCGGUGGAUACUGCCGGGCUAGAGGGUGGUAGAGGCGAGUGGAAUUCCCAGUGUAGCGGUGAAAUGCGUAGAUAUUGGGAGGAACACCAGUGGCGAAGGCGGCUCACUGGACCGGAACUGACGCUGAGGCGCGAAAGCGUGGGGAGCAAACAGG
rnacentral:rRNA from 1 species